rnacentral:lncRNA from 1 species
CAACUCCUCUGCAGGGCCACAAUCCUUUUCCCACUUUUUCAAAACAAAAGAUCUCCCUUCUCCCACUGAUGGAUGUGUCGAUUGCACCCUUCAAGCAAUGUAGACCACACGUCAAUCGUACUACUGCCAUUUUAUUCUGAAUUUUUGCGUUUCUGUCUUUUUUUUACAGUAAUAAUGCAAUUUGUAAUACUGUCAAGCACUCCUAAUUGAUCAUUAGGGUCUAUCCAAAUAUUUUUUGGUGUUUGGCAAGGGUUCCAAGAAAUUAGUUUAUAAAUGAUUGAAGGAAUGUUGUGAUUAGCUGAAAAGAGAAUGUAGUUGAAAAAAAUUAAAUCAGAGUGAUAUAUUUUAAAACAAAGUUUAAGUAGUGGAAAUAGAUUUAUUUUGGAACAAAGUGAGUACACUAUUUAGCACCACAAAGACUAUUUUUUUGUUUGUCCCUUUUUGUUUCACAAAUUACGUAUCUUGGAGCAAUUAAUGCAUUGAAAUUCAAAUGCAUUUAAGUGAAAGCACGAGACAAUACAUUAGAAUUUAAAAAGGUAAAGGUCAUGAUUUUCUUUAAAAAAAAUGGUAUUGGUAUGUGUGCUAAAUAAAAUCUUAUUAGGAGAGAGUACAUUAAACAAGUUUAAGAACUUGAUGACCACAAUAGAACACGCAAAUUAACCAUCGGUCAUAUACACAUAUGGAGUGUUCGGUGAAUACUGUCAUUUUUAAAGUUGUAACAACAGAUAUAAUAUAUACAACAAGGAAAACAACAAAUUGAAUACUUUACAAACAGUUAGAUCUCGCAGCAGUGCACAGCGGAUUCUGAAUGGUAGAAAUUCUAGGGGAACACACAAACAAAACGCGAAUUCGAUCGAGAGAUCGAUGAACAGAAAUACACGGGCGAAAUUAGUAUAGCCUAAUUUAAACAUACCUUGCUGGAUCCAUCCAUCACGAGAGGCAGAAAUUAUUGAGAAUUCCGCUGUCUGAAUCCCAUUGCCACGCAUGAUCAGAUCUUGAACAUCAUCAUCCUGCUGGAUCCAUGAGUGAUGAUUCCACUGCACCAACCAAAUAUGAGAUGAUCCCACAGCGAUGACGAAAUUUGGUCUCUCUCUGCAAUUUCCCACAGCUUUAUUGAACUGCUCGAUCCCCGACGAAACUAGGGCAAAGGCGCUGGGAUCUCUGAUCACGAUUAAACCGCACGAAUUCAGGCAGUUCAAGAAAGCUGUGGAAGAUCACAAAGAGGGCCAGAUAAUGCAUCGAUCGAUCACGUAGGCGUCACCAUGGAAGGGAAUAGAUGGAGAUGAAAUCCAUGGAGGAGUGGACAACGCGAGGAUUCGGGGGAGAUGGUAGAGAGUUGUGGGAGAGGUUGGAGAGAAUACGAGUGGUUAUUUAUAGAACUACAA